rnacentral:lncRNA from 1 species
AGCACCCACACUGUGGUGGCCAAAUCACUCACACCGUCUCUGUCUCUAAUUUAAGCCUUACAACCAUCCAAUCAGGUAUGACAGUGUUCAGGGGUGUUAAGCCAACUGCUUAAGGUCACACAGCACGUAGGUGCCCAGUCUAUUUGACUGAUGCCGGGGGUGUCCUGUGGCUCUCUGGAGAAACAGAGGGAUGCUGGCAGCACAGACCUGCUGGCUUGAGUCCUCCCGGGAUGGGCCCAGGUCAAGGACUAACCUAGCUGGUCACUUACUAGUUCUGUGGCCUAGAACAAGUGACUUGACCUGUAGGCCUACGUUUCUGCCUUGGUGCUGGGCCCUGGGGCUGCCGAGGGAGGAAAAUAAAUAUACGACCCCGGCUGCGUGAGGGAGGGGUGAGGUUGGCAUGCAUGUGCCAGGGACCUGAAGCAAAGAGGCUCUGAUGGGCUAGAAGCCCGUCUAUCUGGCCCCCGCCCCUCCACUGAGGUUCGUAAAUAGGAAAUUCCAGGAUGGCGAGGAGGCUGAGAGAAAUGAGGGGCCUGGCUAGUUCCGGCUCUUUGUUUUGCUUUGCCUUGAGCAAGUCCCUCGUCCUCAGUGCCAAGUGGAGCUCCAGCCCACCUUCACGUUCCACACAGCAGGAGGCCGGAAGGAGGCAGGGAAGCCAUGCCAGACAGGCACAGAGGCACUCGCCUGUAACCCCAGCAACUCGGGAGGUUGAGGCAGGAGGAUCGCAAGUUUGAGGUCAGCCUCGGCAACUUAAUAAGACCCUCAGCAAUUUAACGAGGCCCUGUCACAAAAUGAAAGAUAAAAAGGGCUGGAGAAGUAGCUCAGGGGUAAAGCGCCCUGGGCUCAAUUCUCAAUACUCCCCUCCAAAAAAAGGCAUGCUCCUCCCCCCUGGAUGUGGCUCAGUGGUUAAGCGCCCCUGGAUUUAAUCCCUGGUACCAAAAAAAAAAAAAAGCCCUGCUAGACACUGUAGUCCUUGGUAUCCAUGAUCUCUUUUAGCCAUCCCCCCAAAAUCUGGGUAGGUGCUACUGUCAAUCCCACUUUACCAAUAAGAAACCUGGGCACAGAGUAACGAAAAUGCCAUGUUUCAGAGGUCCCUCGCUUGUAAGGCUAGGAUUUGCAGCUGGUGUGCACGUCUGCAGAGUCACAGGCUUGUCCCCGCCCCCCUCAGUAGGCUCUCAGAGAGGGAAGGAAAGAUGAGUGAAUAUUCCGGAUCCUGAUGCUGCAGUCAGCAGCGAGACUGACUUAAAAUAACCCACAAGACAUUAGGAGUCAGCUGUCCGUGGCAAGCUGUGGUACAGGUAGUGAAUACAGAGCACUCUCCUUGGGACUUUGGGGACUGUUACAGCAAGGAUAAUGACGCUGAUGAUGGCAGCUACCACGGAUUUGCCCUCUUUGAAUUUCCUUUUUCUUUUUUUUUCCUUUGGUUCUUAACCCAGGGCCUCCCACAUGCUAAACACACACCCUUACUACUGAGCUAGACCCCCAACUCCCUUCAUUUGCUGUAUACUAUUCCACUGUAUGGACAUAGCAUGCUUUAUCUAUUCAUUAGUGAAGGGGCACUUGGAUUGCUUCCACUUUGGGGCUAACAAUGCUGCUAUGAAAAUGCAUGUAUGAACUCUGAGUGGAACGUGUUUUCUUUUCUCUUGGGAGAAACUCCAUCUAGAAGUAGAAUUGCUAGGUCAUAUGGUAACUCUAUAUUUAACUUUUUGAUGAACCGCUGGACUCUAUUUUCCAUUUCCAACAGGACUGUAUAAAAUGUCAGUUUUUAGGCAUUCUCACCAGUACUCAUUGAUAUUUUUAAAAUUUUAGCCAUCCCAAGUCGGUGUGAAGUGGCAUCUCAUUCUGAUUUGCUUUUCCCUUGUGGCCAAUGAUGCUUGACAUAUUUUCAUUUGCUUGUUGGCCAUUUGUAAAUCUUUGGAGAAGUGACUAUUACAACCUAUCGCACAUUGAAAAACCCAGUUCUUUGUCGAUUUAUUGUCGAGUUGUAAGUAUUCUUUAUACCCUUAUCAGACACAUGAUUUGCAAACAUUUCCCCUCAUGUUGUGGACUUUCUUCAUUGUGACUUUUGAGGCACAAAAUUAAUUUUUGACAAAGUCUAAUUUAUCUAUUUUUUUCUUGGUUGCUUGUACUCUGGGUAUCAUAUUUAAGAAAGCAUUGCCUGAUCCAAGAUCACAAAAUUUUACUCUUAUAUUUUCUUUCUUUUUUAAAAAAACCUUUUCAGUUGUAGAUAGACACAAUACCUUUAUAUAUGUGGUGCCGAGAAUUGAACCCAGGGCCUCACACAUGCCAAGCAAGCGCUCUGCCACUGAGCCACAACCCCAGCCCUCUUAUGUUUUCUUCUAAGAUUUUUUUUUAUAUUUUUAACUCUUACGUGUAGGUCUUUGAUUUGAUUUUGAAUAUGGUGUGAGUUAGGAAUCCAACUUUAACUUUUUCAAUGUAAUUUUUAAACUUUUUAUUUGAAAUCAUUUUAAACUGAAAGCUUCAAAAUACAUUUGUCCCUUGGUGACGAGGGGGAUUGGUUUCAGGACACAGCUCCUUCUUUUAGCAGCUUCACCCAGUUUCCUCCUCUAGCUGCUGAUGUGACCAGUACGUCUGUCCACGCCUGGAAGUGAACAGACACUAUGAAGCAAGCAGCGGGCAUCGUUGGAAUUCCACCAGUAUUUUUUACUAAUAUUCUCUUUCUGCCUCAUAAUCCAUUCCAGGUCCACAUUGCAUUUAAUUGAUCUUUAUAUCCACAAAUGUGCCCUUGAUACAUUCAAAGAGGACUCUUUAUUUUACAGAAUGUCCCUGGGUUGGGAUUUGUCUGACAGGGCUGAACACCACAAAGUGAUGCGGUGUCCUCCCCAAUGAACUGCAUCAGGGGGCUCAUGGGCCCAGCCGGUCUUACACUGGUGUUACCUGGGUCGCUAAGUUGAGGUGGUGUUUCUCCAGUGAAAAUCAGCUUUUAUGGGGGGGGUACUGGGGAUUGAACUCAGAGGCACUCAACCACUGAGCCACACCCCCAGCCCUAUUUUGUAUUUUAUUUAGAGAGAGGGUCUCUAAAUAAUUUAGCACCUGGACAUUGCUGAGGCUAUGAACUUUGAACUCACGAUCCUCCUGCCUCAGCCUCCUCAUCCGCUGGGAUUACAGGCAUGUGCUACCGCACCCGGCUGGGUAGGGUUCUUCUGUAAGGAAAUAGUUUUUCUCUCCUGCUUCUUACUUAUUUAGUAUUGGUCUGGCUCAUUGAUAUCCAUCAUCUUGAGCAGAAAUAUCCACUCCUUGAUUCUCUAGUAGGGAAACUGAGGCCCAGAGAAGAGGGCAAGGUCACGUAAGAGUCAUUGCCUGUGGCAGAACCAGAAUAGGGGCUCUCUCUCCUGCAUGAUGUGGCCCAGUGCAAGCAUCAGAGUAGAGAGGGACAGGGAGCUGGAUGAGGCCCGGGCGGCCAGCCUGGAAUGGGGCUGUCUGGUGACCAAGGGUUUGGAGGGCAGAUGGCCAUGUCCCCAGGGGGUUUCCAUCCGAUACGGAAGCCAUUGCUCACGACUGCUGUGUGUGCAGCAACAGCCUGAGAGAAGCUUUGGAGGAGGCCCAGGCCCAGGUUUUCAUUCAUAACUCAGGAUGGAAUUGGAAAAGGGUGAUUCCUGACUCAUGUCGCUCCAUCGCUGCCACCACCUGUGUCACCACCUGUGCAGGCAUGUGGUGUUUGCUUAGGAUUGUCCUCAAGCUGACUCACUCCUUUUACUUAAAUAAAGGAACUUUUAUAUCGCUAUGAAAGCAUCUGUGGAAUUAUGCAUUUGUCUUGCUAUUGAUUUAUUUUCCCCCCAUUUGACAUUAAAGCAGGG